rnacentral:rRNA from 1 species
CCUACGGGAGGCUGCAGUGGGGAAUAUUGCACAAUGGGGGAAACCCUGAUGCAGCGACGCCGCGUGAGUGAAGAAGUAUUUCGGUAUGUAAAGCUCUAUCAGCAGGGAAGAAAAUGACGGUACCUGAUUAAGAAGCCCCGGCUAACUACGUGCCAGCAGCCGCGGUAAUACGUAGGGGGCAAGCGUUAUCCGGAUUUACUGGGUGUAAAGGGAGCGUAGACGGCAGCGCAAGUCUGAAGUGAAAUGCCGGGGCUUAACCCCGGAACUGCUUUGGAAACUGUGCAGCUAGAGUGCAGGAGAGGUAAGUGGAAUUCCUAGUGUAGCGGUGAAAUGCGUAGAUAUUAGGAGGAACACCAGUGGCGAAGGCGGCUUACUGGACUGUAACUGACGUUGAGGCUCGAAAGCGUGGGGAGCAAACAGGAUUAGAUACCC